rnacentral:rRNA from 1 species
UACGGAGGGUGCAAGCGUUAUCCGGAUUCACUGGGUUUAAAGGGUGCGUAGGCGGGUAGGUAAGUCAGUGGUGAAAUCUUCGAGCUUAACUCGGAAACUGCCGUUGAUACUAUCUAUCUUGAAUACCGUGGAGGUGAGCGGAAUAUGUCAUGUAGCGGUGAAAUGCAUAGAUAUGUCAAAGAACACCAAUGGCGAAGGCAGCUUACUAAAGUAUGAUUGACGCUGAGGCACGAAAGCGUGGGGAUCAAACAGG